CGACGUUUCUGUCACGAAACAGAACUCCAACGUCAAGAAUCACCCGUACCAGUCUCCAGAGAUCUUAUUGGGGGCUCCGUACAACGAGGCAAUAGACAUGUGGUCCGUAGGUUGCGUGAUGGCUUUUCUGUACAUUGGCGCUCAACUUUAUCCUGGCAGGAAUGAAUACGAAACGAUAAAGUACAUUACGGAGACUCAAGGUCAGUUUCCAGAAGACAUCUUAGCUUCUGGAAAAAAGACUAGCGACUUUUUCCAAAGAGAGAACAAAACCAG